rnacentral:rRNA from 2 species
GGGGAGCAAACAGGAUUAGAUACCCUGGUAGUCCACGCCGUAAACGAUGUCGACUUGGAGGUUGUGCCCUUGAGGCGUGGCUUCCGGAGCUAACGCGUUAAGUCGACCGCCUGGGGAGUACGGCCGCAAGGUUAAAACUCAAAUGAAUUGACGGGGGCCCGCACAAGCGGUGGAGCAUGUGGUUUAAUUCGAUGCAACGCGAAGAACCUUACCUGGCCUUGACAUCCAGAGAACUUAGCAGAGAUGCUUUGGUGCCUUCGGGAACUCUGAGACAGGUGCUGCAUGGCUGUCGUCAGCUCGUGUUGUGAAAUGUUGGGUUAAGUCCCGCAACGAGCGCAACCCUUAUCCUUUGUUGCCAGCGGUUCGGCCGGGAACUCAAAGGAGACUGCCGGUGAUAAACCGGAGGAAGGUGGGGAUGACGUCAAGUCAUCAUGGCCCUUACGGCCAGGGCUACACACGUGCUACAAUGGCGCAUACAAAGAGAAGCGACCUCGCGAGAGCAAGCGGACCUCAUAAAGUGCGUCGUAGUCCGGAUUGGAGUCUGCAACUCGACUCCAUGAAGUCGGAAUCGCUAGUAAUCGUAGAUCAGAAUGCUACGGUGAAUACGUUCCCGGGCCUUGUACACACCGCCCGUCACACCAUGGGAGUGGGUUGCAAAAGAAGUAGGUAGCUUAACCUUCGGGA